GACGUAGGUUCCGAGCGUUAUCCGGAUUUACUGGGCGUAAAGCGCGUUCAGGCGGUUUGGCAAGUCGGGCAUGAAAUCUCUGGGCUCAACCCGGAGAGGUUGUCCGAUACUGCUAAACUGGAGGGCAGUAGAGGGUGGUGGAAUUCCGGGUGUAGUGGUGAAAUGCGUAGAGAUCCGGAGGAACACCAGUGGCGAAAGCGGCCACCUGGACUGCACCUGACGCUGAAACGCGAAAAGCUAGGGGAGCGAACGGG
rnacentral:rRNA from 1 species